rnacentral:snRNA from 1 species
GUUUUAAACCUAAACAUAAUAAA